UGGUGGAGCGAUUUGUCUGGUCAAUUCCGAUAACGAACGAGACUCUAGCCUACUAAAUAGUUCGGGGACCCCCACAAAGGGGCCCCGCUUCAACUUCUUAGAGGGACAGGUGGCGUUUAAGCCACACGAGAUUGAGCAAUAACA
rnacentral:rRNA from 1 species